rnacentral:rRNA from 1 species
AGAUUAAGUUAUUAAGGGCGCACGGUGGAUGCCUUGGCACUAGAAGCCGAUGAAGGACGUUACUAACGACGAUAUGCUUUGGGGAGCUGUAAGUAAGCUUUGAUCCAGAGAUUUCCGAAUGGGGAAACCCAGCAUGAGUUAUGUCAUGUUAUCGAUAUGUGAAUACAUAGCAUAUCAGAAGGCACACCCGGAGAACUGAAACAUCUUAGUACCCGGAGGAAGAGAAAGAAAAUUCGAUUCCCUUAGUAGCGGCGAGCGAAACGGGAAGAGCCCAAACCAACAAGCUUGCUUGUUGGGGUUGUAGGACACUCUAUACGGAGUUACAAAGGACGACAUUAGACGAAUCAUCUGGAAAGAUGAAUCAAAGAAGGUAAUAAUCCUGUAGUCGAAAAUGUUGUCUCUCUUGAGUGGAUCCUGAGUACGACGGAGCACGUGAAAUUCCGUCGGAAUCUGGGAGGACCAUCUCCUAAGGCUAAAUACUCUCUAGUGACCGAUAGUGAACCAGUACCGUGAGGGAAAGGUGAAAAGCACCCCGGAAGGGGAGUGAAAUAGAACCUGAAACCGUGUGCUUACAAGUAGUCAGAGCCCGUUAAUGGGUGAUGGCGUGCCUUUUGUAGAAUGAACCGGCGAGUUACGAUUUGAUGCAAGGUUAAGCAGUAAAUGUGGAGCCGUAGCGAAAGCGAGUCUGAAUAGGGCGUUUAGUAUUUGGUCGUAGACCCGAAACCAGGUGAUCUACCCUUGGUCAGGUUGAAGUUCAGGUAACACUGAAUGGAGGACCGAACCGACUUACGUUGAAAAGUGAGCGGAUGAACUGAGGGUAGCGGAGAAAUUCCAAUCGAACCUGGAGAUAGCUGGUUCUCUCCGAAAUAGCUUUAGGGCUAGCCUCAAGUGAUGAUUAUUGGAGGUAGAGCACUGUUUGGACGAGGGGCCCCUCUCGGGUUACCGAAUUCAGACAAACUCCGAAUGCCAAUUAAUUUAACUUGGGAGUCAGAACAUGGGUGAUAAGGUCCGUGUUCGAAAGGGAAACAGCCCAGACCACCAGCUAAGGUCCCAAAAUAUAUGUUAAGUGGAAAAGGAUGUGGCGUUGCCCAGACAACUAGGAUGUUGGCUUAGAAGCAGCCAUCAUUUAAAGAGUGCGUAAUAGCUCACUAGUCGAGUGACACUGCGCCGAAAAUGUACCGGGGCUAAACAUAUUACCGAAGCUGUGGAUUGUCCUUUGGACAAUGGUAGGAGAGCGUUCUAAGGGCGUUGAAGCAUGAUCGUAAGGACAUGUGGAGCGCUUAGAAGUGAGAAUGCCGGUGUGAGUAGCGAAAGACGGGUGAGAAUCCCGUCCACCGAUUGACUAAGGUUUCCAGAGGAAGGCUCGUCCGCUCUGGGUUAGUCGGGUCCUAAGCUGAGGCCGACAGGCGUAGGCGAUGGAUAACAGGUUGAUAUUCCUGUACCACCUAUAAUCGUUUUAAUCGAUGGGGGGACGCAGUAGGAUAGGCGAAGCGUGCGAUUGGAUUGCACGUCUAAGCAGUAAGGCUGAGUAUUAGGCAAAUCCGGUACUCGUUAAGGCUGAGCUGUGAUGGGGAGAAGACAUUGUGUCUUCGAGUCGUUGAUUUCACACUGCCGAGAAAAGCCUCUAGAUAGAAAAUAGGUGCCCGUACCGCAAACCGACACAGGUAGUCAAGAUGAGAAUUCUAAGGUGAGCGAGCGAACUCUCGUUAAGGAACUCGGCAAAAUGACCCCGUAACUUCGGGAGAAGGGGUGCUCUUUAGGGUUAACGCCCAGAAGAGCCGCAGUGAAUAGGCCCAAGCGACUGUUUAUCAAAAACACAGGUCUCUGCUAAACCGUAAGGUGAUGUAUAGGGGCUGACGCCUGCCCGGUGCUGGAAGGUUAAGAGGAGUGGUUAGCUUCUGCGAAGCUACGAAUCGAAGCCCCAGUAAACGGCGGCCGUAACUAUAACGGUCCUAAGGUAGCGAAAUUCCUUGUCGGGUAAGUUCCGACCCGCACGAAUGGCGUAAUGAUGGCCAGGCUGUCUGCACCCGAGACUCAGUGAAAUUG